rnacentral:misc_RNA from 1 species
GAUGAAGAACGUAGCGAAAUGCGAUAAGUAGUGUGAAUUGCAGAAUUCAGUGAAUCAUCGAAUCUUUGAACGCACAUUGCGCCCCUUGGUAUUCCAUGGGGCAUGCCUGUUCGAGCGUCAUUUGUACCUUCAAGCUCUGCUUGGUGUUGGGUGAUUGUCUAUCUUUAUAGACUCGCCUUAAAGUCAUUGGCAGCCGGCAUAUUGGCCUGGGAGCGCAGCACAAGUCGCGCUUCUUGUCAUGAAUGUUGGCGUCCAGUAAGUCUACAUAUUUUGCUCUUGACCUCGGAUCAGGUAGGGAUACCCGCUGAACUUAAGCAUAUCAAUAAGCGGAUGA